UGGGAAUUUGGACAAUGGGCGAAAGCCUGAUCCAGCAAUGCCGCGUGUGUGAAGAAGGCCUUCGGGUUGUAAAGCACUUUUGUCCGGAAAGAAAUCCUUGGCUCUAAUACAGUCGGGGGAUACGGUACCGGAAGAAUAAGCACCGGCUAACUACGUGCCAGCAGCCGCGGUAAUACGUAGGGUGCAAGCGUUAAUCGGAAUUACUGGGCGUAAAGCGUGCGCAGGCGGUUUGCUAAGACCGAUGUGAAAUCCCCGGGCUCAACCUGGGAACUGCAUUGGUGACUGGCAGGCUAGAGUAUGGCAGAGGGGGGUAGAAUUCCACGUGUAGCAGUGAAAUGCGUAGAGAUGUGGAGGAAUACCGAUGGCGAAGGCAGCCCCCUGGG
rnacentral:rRNA from 1 species